rnacentral:rRNA from 1 species
UACGUAGGUGGCAAGCGUUGUCCGGAAUUAUUGGGCGUAAAGCGCGCGCAGGCGGUCCUUUAAGUCUGAUGUGAAAGCCCACGGCUCAACCGUGGAGGGUCAUUGGAAACUGGGGGACUUGAGUACAGAAGAGAAGAGUGGAAUUCCACGUGUAGCGGUGAAAUGCGUAGAGAUGUGGAGGAACACCAGUGGCGAAGGCGACUCUUUGGUCUGUAACUGACGCUGAGGCGCGAAAGCUAGGGUAGCAAACGGG